UGUUGCUGUUUCGGGUGUGUUGUAGCAGGUGUUAGGAUCGGGGAAGAAGUGAGGGUGCCUGGAAGAAUGUGGGAGGCUGUGACAUAAGUAAAAGGAGAAAGAGGUGACUUGCUGGUUCAAUAUAGUUUGGCUGUUGGCUCUCGCCGGGUGUGGACGUGCUCUCCCUCUCUCCCUCCCUCACCCAUCCUAUGAUAAGCUAAGUGAAUUCACACAUACAUAACACUGUUUUUAUUUAUACAUACUGUUUUAAAUUUUUUGUUUUUUUAUCAUUAUUUUUUUAUUAAAAUUGAAAUACUAUGGUAUUUCAGGACCUAUUCUACACUGGAUCUCUGCAUCUCUUACUAACCUGACUCAACAUAUUCUUCUUGACGGAUCUUCAUCUGACACUGUCCCUGUUUCUUCAGGUGUACAACAAGCAUUGUUCUAGGCCCCCUUCUUUUCCUCCUGUACAUUAACGAUCUUCCACUCUCAACGCCUAACUCUUCCACUAGACUAUUUGCCAAUGAUAGUUUGCUAUUUAGAGCAGUAAAGAUUACUGACGACUGCAGACUGCUACAAAAAGACUUGAACGUCCUCCAACGGUGGGAGUGCACCUGGCAGAUGAAUUUCCGCCCUGACAAGAGUAAACUGUUAAGAUUCACCAGAGCUCACAACCCCAUCCAUCACACUUACACUUACACUCUCCAUAAUUCAGACCUAGAAUCAGUCCACACACAAGUAUCUUGGUGUCCACUUCUCCACUAACCUAAAGUUCAACACAUAGACCACAUCAGUGCCACAGCCAACCAAACUCUGGGGUUCCUGAGGAGGAAUUUACAUAACUGCACCUGAUAUUAAACCCAUAGCUUAUGACACACUUGUGAGACCAACACUUGAAUACAGCUCCACGGUGUGGAAUCCUUACACACACAGAAGCAUUGAUAGGUUAGAACAAAUCAACACCAAGGCGGCUAGGUUCAUUACAAACAAUUGUAGGAAGUGGGAGUCACUUGGUCUGAUGGUAUUCACAAAACUUGCAUCUUUGCAGACUACUUUCUUCACCUUAACUUUCUCAACUAAAAUAAAAAUUGCCUUGCUCUGAAUGUGGAAGUGGAACAAUUGUACAGUAUAAUAUAAGCAGUGCCUGGUUAAGGUGGCAGUCAGGAUCAUGGAAGCAAGAAGAAUAAAUAACAUCUGGGGCAAUGGGCCAGCCCACCGAUGGUUACUGAACCUUUGCACUACAACACAUGAACACAAGAACAGAAGCAAAUCUAUUAGUACUCAUGAAGGAGCUGUUGAUUACUAAGUGGGAUGUUGAAGGACUUGGAGGUGAGGAACCAAGUGCUGAAGGGGAUUCCCCCUCUAAUGUAGGCAAAACUAAACUAAAAAAAAUCGAAACAUACUGAUUUUUUAUCAAGAGUUUAAUGCCUGCUCAGACAUAUGCCUUUGUUGAUUGAUGGAUUGAUCCAGUCUACACUUCCUGAACAUUAUUUUAUUAAGGGAGCUACAUCUCAUUUAGUCUCUUUAUGGCAUGGAUAAGUGACUAUCUGAAGAUCAUUUCCCUCACUCUAGUUCCCCCAGAUGAUAAUGAAUUUUUCAAGGUAAAAAAGCUUAGAACAAACAGCAUCUUGCACCAUCACCAUCAGCAGUACAUUUUCCAUCAGGCAUGUUGUCACCUUCGGUAAGAAGGAAAGGGAAAUGAGACAACAGACAUGUAGGCUGUUUGGUGUGGUGUGCUUAAAGCUGUACAGGUGAUAAAACUGGCUGAAGGUAAAUUCUAAAGUGUUUUACAUAAAAAAUUACCUUUUAUUGUUUAAGUGCAGUGUUCUUACAUCUUUUUUUUUACACAGCAUACACACAAGUGCAAUGAAAAGAUGAGUAUUUGGGCACAUAAUGAUACUGUACUGUUGACAUUCAGUUCUUGCACGGUAUUGGCUACUUCAUCUGCAAGACAUGUGUAAAUAACAUUAUUCACAAAGACUAGGAAUUACAUGUCACUUGAAUUGAGGGUGCACUGCUAUCUUACACCAGGAUCUCUCAUAACAUUGGUAUAAGGCAAAUAAAAAUGAGAUAGAAAAUCAAACAUUUAGUCCACAUCUGAAAUAUAACUCCAAAAACAAAGUCAAAAAAAUUGAAAUUACAUAUCACUACUUCACUGAGUAAGUGAACAAAUAUAAAAUAUUUCUUUCAGCAUAUGAUGCAAUAAUAAAGAAAAUUUGCUUCCCCAAAAAGAGCUUUGUUAUGGUAAAUAUCUGAUGAGUCCACACUCUAAACUUGUUCUCAAACUCCUUCUCCAGUCAACAAAUGUGCCACUUGUACUCCUGACUGGCAGGUCACCCAAGAGGGAACAUGAUGCUUGACAGAAGCACAAGGUAUUGAGGCAGACCAACCCUUCAUGGCUUGGCCUCGCCAGGGUGUGUUGCUUUGGGCUCAUAACUACCUUUACAGGGAUCAUUUGAUCAGCAGCAGCAGUAGCAAUCACUGACUGAACACAACAAGGCAAAUAAUCUCUAUAUACUCAAGAGUAUAAGAAGUAAAAGAGAAAAAUACAUAAUUACAUUUUUGCUAACAAUAAUGUGAUUCCAAAGAAAUAUUCAGUUUGUCAUACAAUAUAUGUAUGCCAAACUUCACUAAAUUCAAUAAGAUCUUAGUUUUCUCUUGACAACCAUCCAGUCAAAUUAUGCCACAUCUAAUUAAAGUAAAAAGUACAUAAGCUGCCUCACCAGACAGGUUUUACUGUUACUUAUGUAGUGUUUAGGAGUCUGCCAUAUCAACCAGGUGUUCACAGCAACACCUAGGAAUAACAUCAGUAAUGCAGGCGGCCUUGAAGUCUUAGUAUGGGACUGAAUGAAUGUUCGUAAACAGGAAAUUCAAAAUGAAUUUGACCUUAUGGAAUGGUUCGUAAGAAAGUUAAAUAGUGAUUAUCUUACUGUUUUAUGCUAUCAAAUCAUAUUUUUGCUGUGUGAAUAACAAUAUGUAUUUGUUUAUUGACCCGGGUGAGCCAUUGUCCAAGUAUACAACAACACACAUGAACUGCUUCUAGUGUGGAGCUGCCGGGACCUGCUCAAGAUGGCAACACUGCUGGAGAGGCAAGAGAAACACAUUCCUUGGGCACCACCGACAGUGUGGGCAGGCCUUAACGCAACAUGCAGAUCCUGUAACAAACUGGCAUCCACCCGCAGGAGCUACUUGAAGGAGCAGCAGUGGAAGUCCUAACUGGCUCAUACGCUGCCUGUGCAACCAGUCCCUCCCUUUCCCUGGCCACACACUGGACAGACUGCGGCCCACAGCACUACACCAUCUGCAGAGGCGUCAGCCCCCAAGACACCGCCAGCGUCACUGAGCAGCUGGAGUCCCAGGGAGCUGCCACCUGAUGAUGCCACCAACCUCUGCAGCUCUGUGUUUGAGGAGUUCGCUGCCUGGGGUAUGGCAGUCCAAUAUCUUUGUGCCACGUCUCGUCAUGUCAGGCACCUGCACAUCAGAGCGGUGCCAUCCAACCAUGAAGACUGUCCUGGUGCGGAGAGGCUGCUCUGUGGUGGAGGCAGUUUACUGAUAGAACGUGGUGCCACUAGAGGACACCACCUGCCAAGGAGGGCAGCGAGGCUGCAACUCCAAGGUGUCAAGGGAACGAUGACAAGAGUUAUAAUGGCUCACCCUGUUGACAGCACACCUCACCAUGAGAGAGAUCAAGAGACUGAGAGACUCGGUAAAUGCAUGGUUGGUGGAUGUUUCAAGAUACCUCAUAACCCAUUCUGAGCUCUGGCUAAUCUUAUCACUGCUGCUGGUUUUGCAGAGCCUCAAGAGCAUGAUGACAAGUUGUAUCGACACAGAGUGAGUGGUGCCGCCAACACUGUGGGUCAGUACAACUUGUCAGCGUGUUCUCAAGGCUCUGCAAAUAACAGGAAAAGUGAUAUGAUUAGCCAGAUUUCAGAAUGUGCUAAGAGACCUCUUGAACCAUCCACAAUGCAUAUAUUCUCUCUCUCUCUCUCUCUCUCUCUCUCUCUCUCUCUCUGCCACAGGAUGCUGCCACACAGUAUGUUUGCAAACCACACAGUCACAAACCCCCCAGCCACACACAUGAGGCAUCUAGGACCAGAAGCUCAUAAGCACCACCUCAGAAAAGUAUGCCAUUCUCUUCCCCAUACUUUUCUCUGUCCCAUGGUGGAUUUACUUGAGCCAUUCAGGUCCAGGUAGAAAUAAAAAAAAAUAAACUUUG